GACGAACGCUGACGGUGUGCUUUAGACAUGCAAGUCGAACGAGAAAGCCCUUCGGGGUGAGUAAAGUGGCGAACGGGUGAGUAACACGUGGGUAACCUGCCCCUCGCAGAGGGAUAACUGGGGGAAACCCCAGCUAAUACCUCGUACGCUUGCCGGGUCGCAUGGCUCGGCAAGGAAAGGUAGCUUCGGCCAUCCGGCGAGGGAUGGGCCCGCGGUCCAUUAGCUAGUUGGUGGGGUAACGGCCCACCAAGGCGACGAUGGAUAGCUGGUCUGAGAGGAUGAUCAGCCACACUGGGACUGAGACACGGCCCGGGCUCCUACGGGAGGCAGCAGUCGGGAAUCUUGCGCAAUGGGCGAAAGCCUGACGCAGCAACACCGUGUGGGCGACGAAGGCCUUCGGGUCGUAAAGCCCUGUUGUUGGGGACGAAGGACGAAGGGUUAAUAGCCCCUAGUCUGACGGUACCCUUCGAGGAAGCCCCGGCUAACUACGUGCCAGCCGCCGCCGUAAGAC
rnacentral:rRNA from 1 species